CUCGCAUCUCAUGAGCCCCUUCCGCCGCCGCUCUCGUAGCGUUGCUCCCUUCGUCACCAUUGUCGCAUAACCCUCUCCGCCGCUCUUGUCGCGUCUGCUCCCUUCAUCGCCGUCGUCGCAGAGUUCUCUCCGCCGUUGCUCUAAUCCGAACACUAAUUUUGUGAUUCUGUUGUUUGGAGGUUAGAUUUUCAAUCCGCUAAUUAACCAAAACUGAAGCCCUCCGUUUUUCUUCACUUGGAGAUUAGAUUUUCAAUUUUAUGCAAUUAAUUUCUCUUUUCAAUUUCAUGGAAUGGUGUGAUAUAAUUCAGCAAGAUAUAUGCUGUUCGUAUUCUCUGACCUGUUCGUAAUUCUUCUUUUCAAUUUCAUGGAAUGGUGUGAUAUAUGCUAUAGUUGUCUAGAAUAGAAAUUUAAUUCAGUUAAUACUAGUUUGGAUUCAUCAAUUUCAGCUUUCUGCUAUUUCUUGUUCAGCAGUUAGUUCCUUUAGCGUUUCGUUCCUUUCCUUGUUCUUGUUCUGCGAUUUGAUAAUGGUGAUUGAUGAUUCUGUUAUAUUAAUUUUUGCAUGAGCUUAAUUUGGGAAGGAAUAGGGUAAGCAUUCGCAAUGAGUUCAUCACUGCACUCUUAAUUUUAGAAAUGCAAAUUGUUUUGUUAAUUUCGAUUCGAUGUGUUUCGUUUCAGAUAAAAACAUUGCACCAUGAGAUUUCAUGCAGAUCUGCUUUAAUCAAAGCCGAUGCCCUAAAAUCUAGUAGUAACAAAGAUGGGGACACAAUAACUUUACAGCUAUCAGAGUGCAUAGAAAGAGAUCAUUGUCAUAUUCCCCUCUGUAAUAAUACAAACCAACCAAUCUAUCUUCAUGUGUCUUAUGUUCUAAUCUUUAUUUUCCUUUUGCCACAUUAAUGGAUUGAUGCCAAUUUACAAUUGAAAAUUUGACCAUAUUUCUUGUAGUCUUGUAGACCUUUUCUUUUAGUUUUAAUUGAAUGAAAUUACCAUAGCCGAAGAAUAAUCUAAUUCAGGAGAACUCAUUUGUCAACAACAAUAUGGAUCAUGUUAUUGCUUUAACAUAAUCAUGCAAUUGCUUCUCAACUUCUGUCAAUUAAAAAGAUAUGUUAACUGAAUUUUCAAUCCUUCACUGAAUUGGUGGUCAAGUUCUAGAAGCUCAUGGUACUUUCUUUCUAACAAGGUUGCAUGUUCUUGUAAUUGAAUAUAUAUAAUGCAAGCUGAAUUGUCUUUAUAAUCCAUAAAGAAUCAUGGUUCUUGUUGGGCAGGGCAUUGGGGUGACCGGUCACUUUACACCUACAUGGUUCUACUAUAUAUGUUGCCAAACAUAGUGACUGUAUUACUCUUUUUCCUUCCACCUCUGCGGCGAAAGUUGGAGCGAUCUAAUAUGUGACUCAUCACACUGUUAAUGUGGUGGGCUCAGCCAAAAUUAUAUGUAGGAAGGGGAAUGCAUGAGAACAUGUUGUCACCACUGAAAUAAGUGUGAAAAUCUUAUAAAUUUCCUGUAUUUAUUACCAAGUUUUUCAAGAUAUGGAAUUCAGAAGUCAGAAGGAUGAGCAUAAAUGCAUAACUACCAUUGUUUUUGUUAUAUUGCAUAUAGUUUACUAUAUAAGUUUCGUGAAAAACUUCACCAUUUUAGUUAAAAGACUUCAUGAAGAAUAUAUCUAUGUACUUGCUGUUCAAGUUUUUACCAUAUUAUUUUUGAAACUUUUCGGUCA